GAGGUGGGAGGAAUCGCUUGACCACAGGAGGUUGAGGCUGCAGUGAGUUGUGAUCAUACCACUGCACUCCAGCCUGGGUGACAGAGCAAGACC
rnacentral:miRNA from 1 species